UACAGAGGUCCCAAGCGUUGUUCGGAUUCAUUGGGCGUAAAGGGCGCGUAGGCGGCCUUGCAAGUCAAAGGUGAAAUCCCUCGGCUCAACUGAGGAACUGCCUUUGAAACUGCAUGGCUUGAGGCCGGGAGGGGGUAGCGGAAUUCCCAGUGUAGCGGUGAAAUGCGUAGAUAUUGGGAGGAACACCAGUGGCGAAGGCGGCUACCUGGACCGGUUCUGACGCUGAUGCGCGAAAGCGUGGGUAGCAAACAGG
rnacentral:rRNA from 1 species